rnacentral:rRNA from 1 species
AUUGAACGCUGGCGGCAUGCCUUACACAUGCAAGUCGAACGGCAGCACGGGAGCAAUCCUGGUGGCGAGUGGCGAACGGGUGAGUAAUAUAUCGGAACGUGCCCGGUCGUGGGGGAUAACGUAGCGAAAGCUACGCUAAUACCGCAUACGAUCUACGGAUGAAAGCGGGGGAUCGCAAGACCUCGCGCGAUUGGAGCGGCCGAUAUCAGAUUAGGUAGUUGGUGAGGUAAAGGCUCACCAAGCCGACGAUCUGUAGCUGGUCUGAGAGGACGACCAGCCACACUGGGACUGAGACACGGCCCAGACUCCUACGGGAGGCAGCAGUGGGGAAUAUUGGACAAUGGCGCAAGCCUGAUCCAGCCAUGCCGCGUGUGUGAAGAAGGACCUCGGUUGG